CAGCAGCCGCGGGAAUACAGAGGAUGCAAGCGUUAUCCGGAAUGAUUGGGCGUAAAGCGUCUGUAGGUGGCUUUUCAAGUCCGCCGUCAAAUCCCAGAGCUCAACCCUGGACAGGCGGUGGAAACUACCAAGCUGGAGUACGGUAGGGGCAGAGGGAAUUUCCAGUGGAGCGGUGAAAUGCGUUGAGAUCGAAAAGAACACCAACAGCGAAAGCACUCUGCCGGGGCGACACUGACACUAAGAGACGAAAGCUAGGGGAGCAAAUGGGAUUAGAUACCCCGGUAGUCCCUGUCUCUUAUAC
rnacentral:rRNA from 1 species